CCUACGGGCGGCAGCAGUGGGGAAUCUUCCGCAAUGGGCGAAAGCCUGACGGAGCAACGCCGCGUGAUCGAAUGAAGGCCUUCGGGUUGUAAAGAUCUGUUGACAGGGACGAAUAAGCCAUGCGAAUAGUUUGGUGUAUGACGGUACCUGUUUAGAAAGCUCCGGCUAACUACGUGCCAGCAGCCGCGGUAAUACGUAGGGAGCAAGCGUUGUCCGGAAUUACUGGGCGUAAAGGGCGCGUAGGUGGGUGCUUAAGUCAGGUGGGAAAACUCUGGGCUCAACCUGGGGACUGCAAUUGAAACUGGGUAUCUUGAGGGCAGGAGAGGAAUGUGGAAGUCCUAGUGUAGCGGUGAAAUGCGUAGAUAGUAGGAGGAACACCAGUGGCGAAGGCGACUUUCUGGACUGUACCUGACGCUGAGGCGCGAAAGCGUGGGUAGCGAACGGGAUUAGAUACCCGUGUAGUC
rnacentral:rRNA from 1 species